rnacentral:rRNA from 1 species
GCGUGCGUAGGCGGUUUGUUAAGUCCGCUGUGAAAGCCCUGGGCUCAACCUGGGAAUUGCAGUGGAUACUGGCAAGCUAGAGUGCGGUAGAGGAUGGUGGAAUUCCCGGUGUAGCGGUGAAAUGCGUAGAGAUCGGGAGGAACACCCGUGGCGAAGGCGGCCAUCUGGACCAGCACUGACGCUGAGGCACGAAAGCGUGGGGAGCAAACAGGAUUAGAUACCCUGGUAGUCCACGCCCUAAACGAUGCGAACUGGACGUUGGGUGGACUUAGCCACUCAGUGUCGAAGCUAACGCGUUAAGUUCGCCGCCUGGGGAGUACGGUCGCAAGACUGAAACUCAAAGGAAUUGA